rnacentral:rRNA from 1 species
UACGUAGGUGGCAAGCGUUGUCCGGAUUUACUGGGCGUAAAGAGCGCGCAGGCGGUCGUACAAGUCGCGUGUGAAAGCCCCCGGCUCAACUGGGGAGGGUCACGCGAUACUGUUCGACUCGAAGGCAGGAGAGGGAAGCGGAAUUCCCGGUGUAGUGGUGAAAUGCGUAGAUAUCGGGAGGAACACCAGUGGCGAAGGCGGCUUCCUGGCACGGACCUGACGCUGAGGCGCGAGAGCGUGGGAGCAAACGGG